GGGCUCAUGGCCUAAUGGUAAGGCGUCAGAUUUCGGUUCAUCAACCAGUCCUCUGAAAAUUGCAGGUUCGAUCCCUGCUGAGCUCG